UACGGGGGGGCAGGCGUUGUUCGGAAUUACUGGGCGUAAAGGGCUCGUAGGUGGCCAACUAAGUCAGACGUGAAAUCCCUCGGCUUAACCGGGGAACUGCGUCUGAUACUGGACGGCUUGAGUUUGGGAGAGGGACGCGGAAUUCCAGGUGUAGCGGUGAAAUGCGUAGAUAUCUGGAGGAAUACCGGUGGCGAAGGCGGCAUCCUGGACCGACAUUGACGCUGAUGAGCGAAAGCUAGGGGAGCAAACGGG
rnacentral:rRNA from 1 species